UUGCCAGUUGACUUUUACUUUGGCGGCCAUGUAUCAAUUCUUUCGAUAACAACUGAUGAGUGGCUAACCCUAGCUGCAUGAUAACAGUGCCUAAAACAAGUUGAUUCAUCACCACAGUCAAUUUAUGUGCAACAAGGUAGGAAAGACAACAUUUUUUUAUUUUUUUUUAUUUUUUACAGAUAACACGCAAUCAUGAAACACCAAGGAGAUAAGACAGAAAACCGAAGAAACCUUUUUGCCCCUUUCAGACCUCCACCAAGUUAGUACAGGAUCUGCUCCGAUCAUUUCAUCACAGGUUCACCAGCUGACCUCUAACAGGACACCCAUGUCGACUGGAUUCCCACUGCGAAGACAAGCAACCCUGCAGCAGCAUGAGUUUCUACUACUUUGUCCCUUUCCUUUCCCUCAGUUAUUCAACGUGGUUGUCAUAUGCUGUGCUUUGGUCAAUCUGAAUGAUUCUGUUGUGCCAUUUAAGUAGAGAGCACCGUCACCUUGUCGUCAUGCCAAAAAAAUGCUCCCUUAAACCGUAUGAAUUUAUAAAAUGUAAUUUGGUACAACAUGUAAAAGACUAUUGUUUAUGAUAUUGUAAACAUACUGGACAUGAAUAAUGGUGCAAUGAAAAGUAUUGUGUGUGAUCUCUGCUUUGCCAUGCCUCAUUUGAAUAAAAUGUAUUUCUAAUAGA